UACGUAGGGUCCGAGCGUUGUCCGGAAUUAUUGGGCGUAAAGAGCUCGUAGGCGGUUUGUCGCGUCUGCUGUGAAAUCCCGAGGCUCAACCUCGGGCCUGCAGUGGGUACGGGCAGACUGGAGUGCGGUAGGGGAGAAUGGAAUUCCUGGUGUAGCGGUGAAAUGCGCAGAUAUCAGGAGGAACACCAAUGGCGAAGGCAGCACUCUGGGACGUGACUGACGCUGAGACGCGAAAGCGUGGGGAGCAAACAGG
rnacentral:rRNA from 1 species